GGUCCGGAUGCCCAGUGCUCCGGGGUCACGGGCCCCUGAUGGCCCUCCGGGGUCACCGGGUCAUGGGCGGCGGCGGGCGGCGGCGGCGGCGUCAGCGACAUGGGGAUGUGGGGAGAACGAACAAGUGGUCCGACCUAGCCCCAAAGCGAGCUCUGGGGCUUUCUCCUGUCUUACUGGCCUCUACCCAAGUCCAGGUUGGGGCAAUAGAACUACAGUUUCGGAAGAAAAGUCCACAUAACUCCACUCGUUCCUUCCCCAACACACCGUUUCCUGAGCUUGCUACCCCCUGAACCUGCCCAGCUGGAUGUGAUGUCCCAGGGGCUUAUGGUCAAGCUAGCUGAUCAGUCUGACUGAUCCAAGGUGCUCGCCAGAUGUUGAAACUGCUGAUAGCCCUAGCAAUCGACCCAUGGGAGGUCACGGGGACAAAGAAAAUAGGAAACGGAGACUGAAAUGGAGCGGCCAGUGCAGUAGGAGGAGCACAGUUUUGAGGAUACCAUCGUGGGAGAGCAAAAUCAAGAGUUAUUAGAGUACUUUAGAUCACCUAUUAUGACAAGAUCCGGUGUGCCUGCGGAGCAACAACUUGGCUACCUAUUAACCAAAGUGACAAUACAGUAUUCUAAAUAACAAGAAGGUCACACAAUUGCAUGGAAUCUUAGAUCUUUCAGAAAUGAGGAACUUUAUGUUUUUGUUGCUUAAUAACCAAGAGCAUGACAAAGUCAGCACAAAACACAGGAGACAGUUUUGAUGGGACAUGAAAUUUCUGCCACACAGAUCACUAAGAAUGUGAAAGAAUAACUAUUUACUAUUCCUUGUUAAGAAAAGGCCCAAUAGUUUAAGAUAAGUUGUCAUUUUAAAUUAUAGAAAACCAAAUUCUAGUUUUAUAUUAAUA